GUCAGGAUGGCCGAGUGGUCUAAGGUGCCAGACUCAAGGGGUUCACUCCUUACUGUAGUAAAGGGACUUCUGGUCUCCACAAUGGAGGCGUGGGUUCAAAUCCCACUCCUGACA
rnacentral:tRNA from 1 species